GGGACACGUGGUAUCCUGUCUGAAUAUGGGGGGACCAUCCUCCAAGGCUAAAUACUCCUGACUGACCGAUAGUGAACCAGUACCGUGAGGGAAAGGCGAAAAGAACCCCGGCGAGGGGAGUGAAAAAGAACCUGAAACCGUGUACGUACAAGCAGUGGGAGCCUCUUAAUGGGGUGACUGCGUACCUUUUGUAUAAUGGGUCAGCGACUUAUAUUCUGUAGCAAGGUUAACCGAAUAGGGGAGCCGAAGGGAAACCGAGUCUUAACUGGGCGUUAAGUUGCAGGGUAUAGACCCGAAACCCGGUGAUCUAGCCAUGGGCAGGUUGAAGGUUGGGUAACACUAACUGGAGGACCGAACCGACUAAUGUUGAAAAAUUAGCGGAUGACUUGUGGCUGGGGGUGAAAGGCCAAUCAAACCGGGAGAUAGCUGGUUCUCCCCGAAAGCUAUUUAGGUAGCGCCUCGUGAAUUCAUCUCCGGGGGUAGAGCACUGUUUCGGCAAGGGGGUCAUCCCGACUUACCAACCCGAUGCAAACUGCGAAUACCGGAGAAUGUUAUCACGGGAGACACACGGCGGGUGCUAACGUCCGUCGUGAAGAGGGAAACAACCCAGACCGCCAGCUAAGGUCCCAAAGUCAUGGUUAAGUGGGAAACGAUGUGGGAAGGCCCAGACAGCCAGGAUGUUGGCUUAGAAGCAGCCAUCAUUUAAAGAAAGCGUAAUAGCUCACUGGUCGAGUCGGCCUGCGCGGAAGAUGUAACGGGGCUAAACCAUGCACCGAAGCUGCGGCAGCGACACUAUGUGUUGUUGGGUAGGGGAGCGUUCUGUAAGCCUGUGAAGGUGGCCUGUGAGGGUUGCUGGAGGUAUCAGAAGUGCGAAUGCUGACAUAAGUAACGAUAAAGCGGGUGAAAAGCCCGCUCGCCGGAAGACCAAGGGUUCCUGUCCAACGUUAAUCGGGGCAGGGUGAGUCGACCCCUAAGGCGAGGCCGAAAGGCGUAGUCGAUGGGAAACAGGUUAAUAUUCCUGUACUUGGUGUUACUGCGAAGGGGGGACGGAGAAGGCUAUGUUGGCCGGGCGACGGUUGUCCCGGUUUAAGCGUGUAGGCUGGUUUUCCAGGCAAAUCCGGAAAACCAAGGCUGAGGCGUGAUGACGAGGCACUACGGUGCUGAAGCGACAAAUGCCCUGCUUCCAGGAAAAGCCUCUAAGCAUCAGGUAACAUCAAAUCGUACCCCAAACCGACACAGGUGGUCAGGUAGAGAAUACCAAGGCGCUUGAGAGAACUCGGGUGAAGGAACUAGGCAAAAUGGUGCCGUAACUUCGGGAGAAGGCACGCUGAUAUGUAGGUGAAGUCCCUCGCGGAUGGAGCUGAAAUCAGUCGAAGAUACCAGCUGGCUGCAACUGUUUAUUAAAAACACAGCACUGUGCAAACACGAAAGUGGACGUAUACGGUGUGACGCCUGCCCGGUGCCGGAAGGUUAAUUGAUGGGGUUAGCGGCAACGCGAAGCUCUUGAUCGAAGCCCCGGUAAACGGCGGCCGUAACUAUAACGGUCCUAAGGUAGCGAAAUUCCUUGUCGGGUAAGUUCCGACCUGCACGAAUGGCGUAAUGAUGGCCAGGCUGUCUCCACCCGAGACUCAGUGAAAUUGAACUCGCUGUGAAGAUGCAGUGUACCCGCGGCAAGACGGAAAGACCCCGUGAACCUUUACUAUAGCUUGACACUGAACAUUGAGCCUUGAUGUGUAGGAUAGGUGGGAGGCUUUGAAGUGUGGACGCCAGUCUGCAUGGAGCCGACCUUGAAAUACCACCCUUUAAUGUUUGAUGUUCUAACGUUGGCCCGUAAUCCGGGUUGCGGACAGUGUCUGGUGGGUAGUUUGACUGGGGCGGUCUCCUCCUAAAGAGUAACGGAGGAGCACGAAGGUUGGCUAAUCCUGGUCGGACAUCAGGAGGUUAGUGCAAUGGCAUAAGCCAGCUUGACUGCGAGCGUGACGGCGCGAGCAGGUGCGAAAGCAGGUCAUAGUGAUCCGGUGGUUCUGAAUGGAAGGGCCAUCGCUCAACGGAUAAAAGGUACUCCGGGGAUAACAGGCUGAUACCGCCCAAGAGUUCAUAUCGACGGCGGUGUUUGGCACCUCGAUGUCGGCUCAUCACAUCCUGGGGCUGAAGUAGGUCCCAAGGGUAUGGCUGUUCGCCAUUUAAAGUGGUACGCGAGCUGGGUUUAGAACGUCGUGAGACAGUUCGGUCCCUAUCUGCCGUGGGCGCUGGAGAACUGAGGGGGGCUGCUCCUAGUACGAGAGGACCGGAGUGGACGCAUCACUGGUGUUCGGGUUGUCAUGCCAAUGGCACUGCCCGGUAGCUAAAUGCGGAAGAGAUAAGUGCUGAAAGCAUCUAAGCACGAAACUUGCCCCGAGAUGAGUUCUCCCUGACUCCUUGAGAGUCCUGAAGGAACGUUGAAGACGACGACGUUGAUAGGCCGGGUGUGUAAGCGCAGCGAUGCGUUGAGCUAACCGGUACUAAUGAACCGUGAGGCUUAACCUUACAACGCCGAAG
rnacentral:rRNA from 1 species